rnacentral:rRNA from 1 species
CUUGCCAGCAUUUCGGAUGGGAACUUUAAGGAUACUGCCAGUGACAAACCGGAGGAAGGCGGGGAGGACGUCAAGUCAUCAUGGCCCUUACGGCCAGGGCUACACACGUGCUACAAUGGUCGGUACAAAGGGUUGCUACACAGCGAUGUGAUGCUAAUCUCAAAAAGCCGAUCGUAGUCCGGAUUGGAGUCUGCAACUCGACUCCAUGAAGUCGGAAUCGCUAGUAAUCGCGGAUCAGAAUGCCGCGGUGAAUACGUUCCCGGGCCUUGUACACACCGCCCGUCACACCAUGGGAGUUUGUUGCACCAGAAGUAGCUAGCCUAACUGCAAAGAGGG